rnacentral:lncRNA from 10 species
UUUUUAUUGCACAUCUACCAAGUGCCAAGCCGUCUGCUAAGCAUUGGGGUUACAAUGAUGGAAAUAUCAGACAUAGCCCCUGCCCUGUAGAGUUUACAUUCUGGAGUGAACAGCAAAGGUGAAGGUGAAGAAACAAAUAAAUAAAAUUAUUACAAAGUACAAUCCAUGCUAUUAUGAAAAGAAAUCAAAUAGAGGACUGAAAUAGAAAUUAGAAGAGGAGGGCUGGUUUGGACAGGGCAGUGAGGAAAACUUCUCUGCAGAGAUGACACUCAGGUGGAUGUGAAGAAUGAAAAUGGGGCCAGCUCAGUGUGUGUGUGUGUGUGUGUGUGCGCACGCAUGCACAUGCUGGGAGAGGAUGGGAUUCUAGGCCCUAUGGUAGGAAAAGAAGUUUGACUAGUGGGAGCUGAAAGACUCAAGCACCUGGCCAAGGAUAAGGGGUAUGAGAUAAGGCUGGGAAAAUGGGAAAAGUGUGGAAUUACUCAGGGCCUCACAGGCUAUGGUAACAUUCCAAACACACACACACAUGCAUGUGCACAUAUGCACACACACAGCACACACGCAUGGGCACACUGAAAGCUUCUGGAGAAAAGAUAUCAUGAACCGAAUGCUAUUAAAAGACAGUUCUGGUUGUUUGUUUGUUUGUUUGAGACAGGGUCUUACUCUGUCACCCAGGCUGGAGUGCAGUGGUGCAGUCUCAGCUCACUGCAGCCUGGACCUCCCAGGCUUAAGUGAUCCACCCACCUCAGCCUCCCGAGUAGCUGAGAUGACAGGUGCAUGCCACCACACCUGGCUGAUUUUUUUUUUUUUAAUAGAUGAGGUCAAGCUAUGUUACCCAGGCUGGUCUCAAAGUCCUGGCCUCAAGUGAUCCUCCCAAAAAGACAAUUCUUCAUACUUCCUGGAGAUUGAAAUGGAGGAGGUGAGGGUUGGCAGCAGGCAGGCCAGUCAUGAGGCCACUGUGGAGUCCAGGUAAGAGAGGAUUUCAUGGAUGCAUUAAGUCGAAAUGUCCGCGAGGCCUCCAACAGAAGUCUCCAAGGGAACUGCUUCUGGGGGUCAGAACUCAGAGGAAGAAUGGGGUUUGCCACCAUACAGAUGGUGUCUAAACCACAGAAACACAGCAGAGGGUACGGCAGGACCAAGUCCACGUGGCACUAGCUUUCCAGUCACUUUGGUGGCUUAGAAAAACCAGGGCCAUGGUGGCCAUUGAGAAGAAUGGUGGCAAAGCAAGUGCAUUUUUUGUGGGAUCUGGUGGACUGGACGAUAUAUUGGAUGUGAAAGGUAAGGCAGCACCAAGGACUGCAGUCUUCAGCAACUAGAAAGAUGAAGGUGAGGCAGGCUAGAUUGGGGGUGACAGGGGGGAAUCAAGGGUUGUCAUCUGGAUGCAUUAAGUCGAAAUGUCCGCGAGGCCUCCAACAGAAGUGUUCAAGGGAACUGCUUCUGGGGGUCAGAACUCAGAGGAAGAAUGGGGUUUGCCACCAUACAGAUGGUGUCUAAACCACAGAAACACAGCAGAGGGGAUGGCAGGACCAAGUCCACGUGGCACUAGCUUUCCAGUCACUUUGAAGAGAAACCUGCCAAGAGGCCUGAGAAGGAAUCACAGACAAGGCAAGAAGGAAUCACAGACAAGGCAAGAAGGAACCAGAAGGACAACGCCGCAUGGGGAAGCAGAAGGGAGAAGAGAGGGCCUCCGGAGGGUAGUCAGCUGAGGCCGGGCUGCUGGGAGAGGACAUGGGAGGCACAGAAGCUCUCCUCAGGCCGAGUUGCAUAUGAACAGCUGCAGUGAAGCAGUGGCUGGGGCUGGGGGAGGAAGUGGAGCCAGCAAGGCCGCUGCCCUGCCUCCCUCCGCCCACCGCCCACCCUUCUCUGACCGCGCCAGCUGCGGGUCCCAGCUCCCCUCCCACACCCCUCCCGCCUGCAGGGGGCAGCCUUGACUGCCAGCCUCUCUCAGACCUCCCUCUCCUGCGGCCCCAAAGCGCGGGCUACACACCUGCGUACCUGAGCAACCCACACAUCUGUGCACCCCACACA